GGGUGACUGCGUACCUUUUGUAUAAUGGGUCAGCGACUUAUAUUCUGUAGCAAGGUUAACCGUAUAGGGGAGCCGUAGGGAAACCGAGUCUUAACUGGGCGAAUAAGUUGCAGGGUAUAGACCCGAAACCCGGUGAUCUAGCCAUGGGCAGGUUGAAGGUUGGGUAACACUAACUGGAGGACCGAACCGACUAAUGUUGAAAAAUUAGCGGAUGACUUGUGGCUGGGGGUGAAAGGCCAAUCAAACCGGGAGAUAGCUGGUUCUCCCCGAAAGCUAUUUAGGUAGCGCCUCGUGAACUCAUCUUCGGGGGUAGAGCACUGUUUCGACUAGGGGGUCAUCCCGACUUACCAACUCGAUGCAAACUACGAAUACCGAAGAAUGUUAUCACGGGAGACACACGGCGGGUGCUAACGUUCGUCGUGAAGAGGGAAACAACCCAGACCGCCAGCUAAGGUCCCAAAGUCAUAGUUAAGUGGGAAACGAAGUGGGAAGGCUCAGACAGCCAGGAUGUUGGCUUAGAAGCAGCCAUCAUUUAAAGAAAGCGUAAUAGCUCACUGGUCGAGUCGGCCUGCGCGGAAGAUGUAACGGGGCUAAACUAUGCACCGAAGCUGCGGCAGCGA
rnacentral:rRNA from 1 species